rnacentral:rRNA from 1 species
CCUACGGGCGGCUGCAGUGGGGAAUAUUGCACAAUGGAGGAAACUCUGAUGCAGCGACGCCGCGUGGGUGAUGAAGGCCUUCGGGUUGUAACGCCCUGUCGGCUGGGAACAAGGUAGACGUGCUCAUACCACGUUUGCUUGAGGGUACCAGCAAAGGAAGCACCGGCUAACCCUGUGCCAGCAGCCGCGGUAAUACGUGGGGUGCUAGCGUUGUUCGGAAUUACUGGGCGUAAAGGGCAAGUAGGCGGUGAAAUCCCGGAGCUUAACUUCGGAAUUGCUUUUGAGACUGCAAGGCUAGAGUGUGUUAGAGGAUGGCGGAAUUCCUAGUGUAGAGGUGAAAUUCGUAGAUAUGAGGAAGAACACCGGUGGCGAAGGCGGCCAUCUGGGACACAACUGACGCUGAGGCGCGAAAGCGUGGGGAUCAAACAGGAUUAGAUACCCUGGUAGUC